UUAAAUUGAAGAGUUUGAUCAUGGCUCAGAUUGAACGCUGGCGGCAGGCCUAACACAUGCAAGUCGAACGGUAGCACAGAGAGCUUG
rnacentral:rRNA from 8 species